GCUGAAUACAACAGGUGUAGUAGACCUUACAGUGAAAUGCUGAAUACAACAGGUGUAGACCUUACAGUGACAUGCUGAAUACAACAGGUGUAGUAGACCUCACAGUGACAUGCUGAAUACAACAGGUGUAGUAGACCUCACAGUGACAUGCUGAAUACAACAGGUGUAGUAGACCUCACAGUGACAUGCUGAAUACAACAGGUGUAGACCUUACAGUGAAAUGCUGAAUACAACAGGUGUAGUAGACCUUACAGUGAAAUGCUGAAUACAACAGGUGUAGUAGACCUUACAGUGAAAUGCUG
ensembl:lncRNA